UACGGAGGGUGCAAGCGUUAUCCGGAUUCACUGGGUUUAAAGGGAGCGCAGGCGGAUCUUGUAAGUCAGUGGUGAAAUACCUGAGCUUAACUCGGGAACUGCCAUUGAUACUAUCAAUCUUGAAUACUGUGGAGGUAAGCGGAAUAUAUCAUGUAGCGGUGAAAUGCUUAGAUAUGAUAUAGAACACCGAUAGCGAAGGCAGCUUACUACGCAGUUAUUGACACUGAGGCUCGAAAGCGUGGGGAUCAAACAGG
rnacentral:rRNA from 1 species